rnacentral:lncRNA from 1 species
CCGAUGUGAGCGACGUCAGGUUUUUGAUAGACCAGUUUAAGUUUCACGAUGCAGAUAAGAUCGACGUGCAGUUUGUGAAAGAGUAUGCUCAUGCUGAUUUCAUCAUGGGUGUUACUGCCAAAGACGUUGUUUAUAACCAAGUUGCUACCUUUUUCAAACGACAAGUUUGAUUUUAGUAUAAAUCAUUAGGUUAUAUGUACUUUCAUGUGCCCCAGUAUUUUUAAAACCGGACCGGCUAGCAAACCGAAAUUUUUUGGGGUUAUGGGUCAUUGUGGUUCGACCGUAUCUGAACCGGGUUCGAUCGGAUUUACUUAGAUUAAACUAAAUUUAAUGAUAUUUUAUAAAUAAUAUGCAUUUUUUUUUAAAAAAAUUAGAUCAUAUCAAAAAAAUGUUUAAAUAGCCAUAAUGUGUAGAAAAUUUUAAAAAUAACAAUUAAAAUCUAAAAUCAAUAUGAAAAACACAUUUAAACUUUAUUACAGAUCUUAUCACUCUAAAUCUUCAUCACCUUUUAAAAAAAUUAUAUACGCAUUAGGUAAAAGUUAUAUUUUGAAAUACAAAUUUCAGAAACGUAAAUGUUUCAAUUAUUUAAAGUCUUCAAAACAAGUGAUCAUGAAAUAAAAAUUUAAACAAAAUGAGAAGUAGACAAAAAUAAUAUCUUGACUUGAAUAUUAAACUUUGUGAAUCUUGUAAUUUAUGAGUUGUAUAGACGACAAACGAAAAAGACGAGACACAGUAUGCUCAUGCUGAUUUCAUCAUGGGUGUUACUGCCAAAGACGUUGUUUAUAACCAAGUUGCUACCUUUUUCAAACGACAAGUUUGAUUUUAGUAUAAAUCAUUAGGUUAUAUGUACUUUCAUGUGCCCCAGUAUUUUUAAAACCGGACCGGCUAGCAAACCGAAAUUUUUUGGGGUUAUGGGUCAUUGUGGUUCGACCGUAUCUGAACCGGGU